rnacentral:rRNA from 1 species
CAGCCGCCGCGGUAAUACCGGCGGCCCGAGUGGCGGCCACUAUUAUUGGGCUUAAAGCGUCCGUAGCCGGGUUGGUUAGUCUCCCGGGAAAUCUGGCCGCUUAACGGUCAGAAUUCCGGGAGAUACUGCCAGCCUAGGGACCGGGAGAGGCCGAGGGUAUUCCCGGAGUAGGGGUGAAAUCCUAUAAUCCCGGGAGGACCACCUGUGGCGAAGGCGCUCGGCUGGAACGGGUCCGACGGGGAGGGACGAAGGCCAGGGGAGCGAACCGGAUUAGAUACCCGGGUAGUCCUGGCGGUAAACGAUGCGGACUAGGUGUCGGGCAAGCUAAGGGCUUGUCCGGUGCCGCAGGGAAGCCGUUAAGUCCGCCGCCUGGGGAGUACGGCCGCAAGGCUGAAACUUAAAGGAAUUGGCGGG